AGCGCGCCGCGCAUGCGCUCGCUCCUCCCGCGCGCAGGGCCUGAGCUCCGCCUCCUCCCGCGCGGGGCUCUGAGACCCCCGGGCCCCGCCGGCCCGCGAGCCCCGAGCUCUCGCCUUCGGGUCGGCCGCGUCCCGCAGCGGCAGGCCGGGGGGCGGAGAGCCCGGUGGGGGGGCGCGGGCCGCUGCCGCCGUUGCCCCGUGCGCUGUCCGGUCACACUGGGCGGGAGCGGCGGCCGGCCGGGCCCGAAGGUCGUUAAUCCAAACGGUGCGGUCACGUGAUGCUGCGGGGGGAGCGCGUGUGACUAAGAGAGGUGUUGGGGCCAGCGUGGUGGGUAGCGCUGCUGAACCUGCUGUGCCGGCCUCCAGAGCCGCAGCCUCGGCCCCUAGCCGCAGAGAGACCAGCGGCCUUGCGGCACCUCCGAGACUAACACCUUUAUCUGAGCGUGGGCCGCAGCUCCCUUCAUCCGAGGCAGCUCGCCAAAGCUCGUGCUCAGCUAAUUACUGGUGAAGCUUAGGAAAUAGGUCUACUUCAAAGUCUCCAUGAUUGCCUAUUGUUCGCCUAAGGACUCCGAGCUGUCAAAAGAAGGCCUGGAACUGUAUAAAGAUAUCUUGGGUCCUGAUCCUUUUUAUAUCAUUUCUGCUUGAUGCUUCAUGCGGGGAAAGGUUGAGUCGUAAGACUGAGAUCUCCAGUUCCAUCUGGAUCACCCUGAUUGUCAACAUUGGACUAUAACUUAUGGACUAAUUUUAAAAUAACUCUUUGCAACUGUGAAGCUCACCAUCUCCACUAUGAAUCUGAUCUCAGAACUGUACUCAUGUCUGUACGUAAACUGAUCUUUUAACGAGUACUCUCUCUCUUCUUUAAUAAAUUUUAGUUUAGUUAAUAAGGAUUAGCUGUAAGUGUGUAUUUGGGUAAGAUCUGAAAUAUUCAUUAACCUGGGAGGCAAUGUGUCCGAUCCUUUGGGAUUGGUAGAACCUUCUUAUAUGAUGAAUAAGAUUGUCAGUAGUCCUCAUCAUAUUUGACUUGGGGGGUCUGGGUGGAGGCUUAAGGCUGGGAUGCUUUAAGGGCACUGUGUUGUCAGCUAAAGCUGGGUACCAGUAAGGUAUUAUAGAAGCUAUUUUGUGCUUGCUUGGUAAAUCUAAGUAUUGGAAUAUCCACCAGCUUUGGGGAUAGUCUGAUCCAUUCUUUGCAGUUUACCCUAAUUGAGUGACCACAGUAUGGCUCCCCUGGGAUUCUGGUCACAGUGGCAGUAUGAGAAAAUAUCUUAUUUGAGCUUACUACAGCCAUACCUGGCAGGACAUUAAGGAUCUUAUGAUGAACACAUCUGUUGUGUAGGUCACUCAGAAGCAAGCUUCAUAGUCAGCCAUAUCUGGUACAGGAACAUGACAUGGAGUCAGAAGUAAGCUACAACCAAAGGAGAACAGAAACAGAAGGAAAAAAGCAACAAAGGUUGCAAAAAGAAGGAACAAAGGAACAAAGUUUGCAGGAUCUCAUCAGCAUGCCACUCUUCAAUGCCCAGAGAACUUCUGCUUUGACAAAUGGAUAGACUGGACCCCGUAUUUUGCAAGAUUUGUAAUUGCAAAUAAGUUCCACACAAAAAUCCUAGAGAUAUAUAGGUAUCAUCUUUAAUUUUUGCUAUGCUGAAGCAUGCAGAGCAUCUCUUUAAAUCCUUUGACUUUAACUGAUGACACAAAGAUGACUGUGAAAGGGUUCUAGCUGUGUUUGAUGCAUACUUUAUACCUUAGAGAAAUGUGGUUUAUGAAAGAGCACGUUUUCACCAGAGAAUUCAUGAGCCAGGGGAAAAUGUUGAAUGUUUUAUAAGAGGUCUGCAUACUGUGGCGUUGCACUCUAAUGAUUUUAUGAAAAUAUGCUAAUGAGUGUGAAUAUAAUAUAACUGGAAUAUGCUUCAUGCAAAAGGUCUCUUGUAAGGUGUCAUUACAAAGCUUAUAAUCUACUAAGUGUGGUCAUCGUAUUGAGAUCAGGGAAGAGAAGUAGCACUGCCCUGAGUCCCGUCUUCAGCCAGGGAUGGUUGAGAAGGAACUGAGGAGGAUGCGGGAUGCAGGCACUCAGGAAGAUUACAAUGAGAUGGGAGAUACCAACUGAGCGCCUGCAUCCCAACCAGGCGCUGCUACCGAAAAUCUCCGAUCAACGGCACCGGGACACACCGACACCUAGAGUGGAGCACCCACAGGAACAGCACUCGAAGAAGAAAUUGACAAUUUACAGCUGUUUGCUGCACCAAAGCAGUCAGGGAGUUGACUCGUUACAGACAGUCAGUCAGUCAAUCAAUAGCUAUUCUUACUGGGAUCUAUCACUUGUGAUGACCUAGAGCCUACCUGGAGAGUGAAACUGAAUAUUCAUGGCAAGACUAUUGACUUUAAAACUCACAUCACAGUUAUUUCAAAAGGGUCUUACAAUCACCUUCAACCCCUUUCAGAGGUGAAGACACUUGACAAAGCUUUGACUAGCCCUAGUGGUAUUCUGAAUUGCGUGGGCCACUUCACCACAGAAAGAGCUUAUGAAGACAAAAAUUAUGCAUUCAGAGUACAUGCAAAGGAUCAAAGACCAACAACCUUCUUAGUUACAGCAUGGCAGUCAUGAUGGAUUUAAUGAAAAGGUGGAAGAAUUUGACAGAGGAUUUGAUGAAUUGGAGUUUUGAAAGAUGAUCCAGUACUAAUCAACUUAAGAGACCAUGUUGAAUCAUACAAUGUACAAACACCUCUAUCAGAGGGACCUGGGAAGAGAUUAGCUGCAGAUUGAUGGAAAUUCAGAGGACAUCAUCAGAGGACCUGGUUGUAGUGGACUAUUUUUCUGGUAUAUAGAAAUCAUGUACUUGAAAGUCAUAACACGUUGCAGUGUUAUUGAGAAACUGAAGUGCACUUUGAUAUUCCUGAACAACUAGUGACGGAUAAGGGACCACAAUUCACUGCAGCAGAAUUUAAGUAAUUCGAAACAAAAUAUGAUUUUGAUCAUGUUGCUAGCAGCUCAUAAUACCCACAAGUAAAUGGAGAGGCUGAGAGAGCUGUGCAGAUAGCCAAGAAAAUUCUACAGUAGGAAAAUGCAUUUCUUUGCUCUCCUGAGUUACAAAUGAACCCCAAUAGCAGCUACUGGAUAUGGUCGAGCACAACACCUGAUCGGACGACAACUCAGACCUACUGUUUCAACUUUGGGCUGGGAAUCUAUCUCCCAAAUGGCCAGAUAUGAAGAGAGUAGCCAAAAUGGAUAAAAAUAUUAAAAGACAGUUUAUGAACAUUUUUACAACAGAUAUCACUGAGUUCGAGAACUGCUAGGUCUAGAGCCUGGUGACCAUGUUCAUGUCAAAUUGGAUGGGAAAAAGGAUGGACAACUCCACCUGACAUAAAAAGAAAGAAUUCAGUGCCCAGAUAGUAUGAUAGAGACAGACAGUGGAGAGUUCAACAGAAACUGGGGGCAUCUAGUUUAUUCUUCAGAAAGAACAAUCAACAGAGCAAACGCUACAGAUGCAGAACAAAAUGAUGACUCAAGGACCCAGGACUGACCACAGCUAGUCAUUACAACUAAUGGACAGUCGGAUGACCAAGUUGUUGUGUGUUUGGGUUGUGCAUUUAGACAACCAGAGGGAGUCACAGACACUGAACAGACUGAUACUUACUGAAUUUCAAAGAUAGUGUAAAUGGUAGGAAUGUAGAACUUCAAAGGGGAGAUUUAAUGGAAUGAUAAACUGUAUUAUACUUUGCAUAAUGACAGGUUUCAAAGUAGCAGCUGUGUUAGUCUGUAUUCGCAAAAAGAAAAGGAGGACUUGUGGCACCUUAGAGACUAACAAAUUUAUUUGAGCACAAGGUU